rnacentral:rRNA from 1 species
UAGGGAAUCUUCGGCAACGGACGAAAGUCUGACCGAGCAACGCCGCGUGAGUGAAGAAGGUUUUCGAAUCGUAAAACUCUGUUGGUAGAGAAGAACGUUGGUGAGAGUGGAGAGCUCAUCAAGUGACGGUAACUACCCAGAAAGGGACGGCUAACUACGUGUCAG